rnacentral:sRNA from 1 species
GUCCAAGAUGGCGGCAGAAGCAGCUGGUGGGAAAUACAGAAGCACAGUCAGCAAAAGCAAAGACCCCUCGGGGCUGCUCAUCUCUGUGAUCAGGACUCUGUCUACUAGUGACGAUGUCGAAGACAGGGAAAAUGAAAAGGGUCGCCUUGAAGAAGCCUACGAGAAAUGUGACCGUGACCUGGAUGAAUUGAUUGUACAGCACUACACAGAAUUGACGACAGCCAUUCGCACAUACCAGAGCAUCACAGAGCGCAUCACUAACUCCCGAAAUAAAAUAAAGCAGGUAAAAGAGAACCUGCUUUCAUGCAAGAUGCUGCUGCACUGCAAACGGGAUGAGCUUCGGAAACUAUGGAUUGAAGGAAUUGAGCAUAAGCAUGUCCUGAACUUGUUGGAUGAAAUUGAGAAUAUCAAGCAAGUGCCUCAAAAGCUGGAACAGUGCAUGGCCAGCAAGCACUAUCUCAGUGCCACUGACAUGUUGGUGUCAGCAGUUGAGUCUUUGGAGGGCCCCCUGCUCCAGGUGGAAGGACUGAGUGACCUUCGACUAGAGCUUCACAGCAAGAAGAUGAACCUCCACUUGGUUCUCAUAGAUGAACUACACCGGCACCUGUACAUCAAAUCGACUAGCCGAGUUGUGCAGCGUAACAAGGAAAAAGGGAAAAUCAGCUCCCUCGUGAAAGAUGCUUCUGUUCCUCUGAUUGAUGUUACAAACCUCCCUACUCCUCGAAAAUUCCUUGAUACCUCUCACUAUUCUACUGCUGGAAGCUCAAGUGUGAGGGAGAUAAAUCUGCAGGACAUCAAGGAAGAUUUAGAAUUGGAUCCAGAGGAAAACAGCACCCUGUUUAUGGGUAUCCUCAUUAAGGGCUUGGCGAAACUGAAGAAGAUCCCAGAAACAGUUAAGGCAAUCAUAGAGCGCUUGGAGCAGGAGUUGAAGCAAAUUGUGAAGAGGUCUACAACCCAGGUGGCAGACAGUGGCUAUCAACGGGGGGAGAACGUUACUGUGGAGAAUCAACCAAGGUUGCUUCUAGAACUGCUGGAGUUACUGUUUGACAAGUUUAAUGCUGUAGCCGCUGCACACUCUGUGGUCCUGGGAUACCUGCAGGACACUGUAGUGACUCCACUGACUCAGCAGGAAGAUAUCAAACUGUAUGAUAUGGCAGAUGUAUGGGUGAAGAUCCAAGAUGUUCUACAGAUGCUGUUAACUGAGUACUUGGAUAUGAAAAAUACUCGUACGGCCUCUGAACCAUCAGCUCAACUAAGCUAUGCCAGCACUGGACGAGAGUUUGCGGCCUUUUUUGCCAAGAAGAAACCUCAAAGGCCAAAAAAUUCUCUUUUCAAGUUCGAAUCGUCCUCCCAUGCCAUCAGUAUGAGCGCCUAUCUGCGAGAACAGAGAAGGGAGCUCUAUAGUCGGAGUGGAGAACUGCAAGGUGAGUGAUUGAGCUUCUCUGGAAAAAUUAAUUUUCUGGAGGAAUAUUUCCUUUAUUACACAUGAGUUUGUGUCCUGCAUUCACAGGAUCCUUUCAAGAUAACAAACACUUAGUGACUUAAUAAUUUGUUUCUUCUGUAAUUUCCCAGCAUCUGCUGCCAAGCAGGUAAAACUAUUACUGUGGCCAUAGGACUUGUAGACCUGCUACUGUUCAAGUGGGAAUUCAUAGCAAACAAAGAUGAGGCCAGGCUCGUCUUGCUUGAACAGAAGACCUGAGUCCAGUCACAAUCUAGGAGAAUGUUGGUCUUCUGCGACUGCCACUGUUACUUCUAAUUGUUGUUUUUGACACCUUCUAGAAUAUGACAGGAGUACCUGAGAUUUGGGAAAGGGAAAAUGCAACCACUGUCAUUAUUUAAAGGGAAAAAGAUGCCUCUAAAUAGUAUGUUAUAAUCAAUAUAACUGUGAUACACAGGCUAUUUGAUACCUACGUAUGGUUACCAAAGAGUUGUAAGCUGAAGAAGAAAGUAUUUAGAAAAUAAAUUAAAUAUAAAUACAUAUAUUAGACUGAUAACAUUUCCUUCUGUGACAAAAAGCUGCUGAUCAUGUAAAUGUAAUGAGUUAAGAAAGGUUUGGAGGUCAGGUGUGGUGACUAACACCUGUAAUCUCAGCACUUUGGGAGACUGAGGCAGGCAGAUCACUUGAGUCCAGGAGUUCAAGGCCAGCCUGGGCGACAUGGCGAAGCCCUGUCUCUAUAAAAAAAUACAAAAAUUAGUUGGACAUGGUGGCACGUGCGUAUUCCCAGCUACUCAGGAGGCUGAGGUGAGAUUGCUUGAGCCUGAGAGGCAGAGGUUGCAGUGAGCUGAGAUCAUGCCACUGCACUUCAGCCUGUGUGACAAAGUGAGACCAUGUCUCAAAAAAAAAAACAAAAAACAAAAAACAACAAAA